GGAUUAGAUACCCUGGUAGUCCACGCAGUAAACGAUAAGUGCUAGUCGCUGGGGCAAUAGCUUCAGUGUCGUAGCUAACGCAUUAAGCACUCCGCCUGGGAAGUACGGUCGCAAGAUUAAAACUCAAAUAAAUUGACGGGGGCCCGCACAAGCGGUGGAGCAUGUGGUUUAAUUCGAAGCAACGCGAAGAACCUUACCAGACCUUAACAUGGUGUGUUUGAAUUACAGAAUCGUAAUUCUUCAGUUCGGCUGGCACACACACAGGUGCUGCAUGGCUGUCGUCAGCUCGUGCCG
rnacentral:rRNA from 1 species